UAAUGGCUGGGUUUACAAGAGGUUUUAAUAGCUGGGUUUACAAGAGGUUUUAAUGGCUGGGUUUACAAGAGGUUUUAAUGGCUGGGUUUACAAGAGGUUUUAAUGGCUGGGUUUACAAGAGGUUUUAAUGGCUGGGUUUACAAGAGGUUUUAAUGGCUGGGUUUACAAGAGGUUUUAAUGGCUGGGUUUACAAGAGGUUUUAAUAGCUGGGUUUACAAGAGGUUUUAAUGGCUGGGUUUACAAGAG